ACGAUACAAUAAUUUUUUUUAUGAAAACGUAUUUGCAGAGCAAAUGUUACCCCUUUUAUGAAAAUCUCGUAGUGUACAGAGAAUGAAAAUAUAAACAUUUCUUUUGCAGAAGUCAUUGGUUGGUCUGAAAUUUGACAAACGUGUCAAGAUGUAACAUUCGUGAUGUAACAUUCGUUACCGAGAAAUUAAUUAAAAGGAAUGAUAUCACAAUUUCCCGCGUAUUUUUGCUCUCUGUCUGCAUGAUGUGGUAUACGACAUGAAUGUCUACUAUGAACAUUUGAGUUUGAAAGUCAAUACGUGUUAAACUUUGAGAAUUAGGAUUAAUUUUCUCUUACGAAAUGGCGCUUGUGAGAGCAGAAGUACAGAAUAACUACCAUGAAAAAAAAUGCAUUAAAACAUAAGAACAACCAUGAAAAAAUGUUUUAGAAAUAAUAUUAUAUGCUCCCCUUGUGGCAAUACUGAAAAGGUAGAAUGUCUGUAUAGACAGUGAAAAUAAAGGUUUAACUACCGGUCAAAGGCUACCAUAAUGAUACAUGUAAGUUUUGUCUCUCAGAAUACUUAUAAGCAACUGGUCAUUUGAGUAAUUUUGUAUGACCUUUGACCUUGUGACUUGAAAUCCAAUGGGGGUCAUCUAUUCAUAAGGGGGCACCAGUGUUUCAAGUUUGAUGUCUAUCAAGGAAAGACUUCUCAACGGACAAUAGCGUAUGUCCAGAGUAGUUUAACCGUUGUCCUUUUGACCUCAAAAUCAAUAGGGGACAUCUAUGUCUUAAGGUUCACGUUAAAUAUUCAUUCAUAACACUGCGUGGUGGAUUAUACUGACAGUUUCUAUGGAAAGGUAUUCCAAAAUAACCAACAAAAACAUAAGAUUCGGUAUACAUUUAAUCAAAAUGUUGGGAAAUUAAACAUUUUCUUUAUAUUAUUAUUGUAAACAGAUUGUUAGAAAUGGGUAAAUAUGUUUCUUUCCAUUUUUUGAAUGGAAAUGAUGUGUUUACAGUAAUGAAAGGAAAAAUAAGAAACAUACGUUACUUUCAUUGUUUAUUAUAACAAAGAGCAAUCCAGGUUUCAAAACAUGUGUCUGUUAUUUCUAUAAGAAUCAUGAGCAUUUGAAUAGCGAAACAUCAAUAUUUUACUUUUGUUUUAAUAGCAUAUUUAUUGCAAAUUAACAAAUUCAGAAGAAAAGACACAUUUGGUAAUUUUUUUUGCUUGUCUACGUUAUAUUUCUAUUAAAAUUGGUAUUUCCAUUGAAUUAAGUGAUGUCGUUAUGAUUUUGCAACAUCAAUCGUAAAGAAUAACUGAUGAUGACAUCGUUUUGGCAUAAUAUUUUCAUGGAUGUACUGUUGUGUAAGUGUUGAAACAUACGUUACAUAAUUAUAGCGCUACUUCAUUUACAUACAUAAAAGCUAUCGUUCUAUAUCUAUUGCUAGUCUUUUGUUUUCAUGUUUCAUACAUAUUGAACUGUUCGAGAAUAUUUGUUAAUCAAUUUUAUUUUCUGCCAUUUCAAAGAUAUUGAAAGUGAUAUCUAGUCGUUUAUUUUACGCUCUUAAAAUCUUAUUGCUGACUUUUACAGCAGAUAAUUUCUUGUUGUGUUGAUUAAAUAUUUUCUUGGAAAA